UGCUGAGGUGUUGGGAGUGUGUUUCUAGCUAAGGGCAAGCUGCUGAAAUGCCUCAUAGCCUUGCAAUCCGCUGCCUGAAGGCGACCCCACGAGAAGCAUUUUCUGCUUUUCCGUUUGCCACAUGAUGCUUCUGACCAGCAAUGUCGGCACAAGCAAUGUUUGGGGAAUCUCAGAGCAAGACAGUUCUGGUGACCAGAAGAGAACCAAGGACCAACUGUCUAGAUUUGGAAAAUAACAGAAAACUGUCAUUUAAAAAUCUACAAGAGUAGAAGAAAAUGUGUAAUGACUGUGAGUGUGGCUAGAAGAACCUAAAACAAACUUGAUACUGGGCAAGCCAAGGACCAGGAGGAGGAAAAUCCCAUGAAGGAGCACUCAGAGAAGAGACCAACACAGAGACCACUGGUGAUCACUUCCCAGGAGGUUUUGAUGGGAAGGUGGAGACUGAAUUCAGACUGUAGUGACUUUCUGUCGGUUUGUUCUGGCUGCGCUGGGUCUUCACUGUUGCGCGCAGGCUUUCUCCAGUUGUGGCGAGUAGGGGCUACUCUCCAGUUGCGGUGUGUGGGCUUCUCAUUGCAGUGGCUUCUUUUGUUGAGAAGCAUGGGUGUGUGGGCUCAGUAGCCUGAGUUUACAGGCUUAGUUGCUCUGCAGCAUGUGGGAUCGUCCCGGACUAUGGAUCGAACCCGUUUCCCCUGCAUUGGCAGAUAGAUUCCUAACCACUGGGACACCAGGAAAGUCCCUACAGUGAGCUUUAAAGUGAUGUUGGACUAAAGAAGUAGAGUAGUGCUCAUUGAUAAUCCUUCUAAGGAGACUGGCAGAGGAAGAAAAUUGUCCAAACAGGCUUGACAUCCUUAAUUGUUUCCUCUCCACCCAAGGGCAAGGCCACAGGUUCCCUAUUAAUGGAGGCUGGACUAGGUAUCUGCACCUUAAGAAAUCUCACUGGCUCCCUUCCAAUUUCCUGAAACUUUGGGCUCUAUCUUCCUAUUCCUAAUCACAGAUCCUUUAACCCCCAUCCACCUUUUCCCCAUCUCCACCCAGUAUAUUUUGGAUCGAUACAGUGUUUGAGGAUUUCUUUUGUUCUCGCCCUGUUUCACCCGAUGCUGCCCUCUGCUCUCUUUUUGUUCUGUGUCCUGGGGCUUGACUGUAGCCCCUCCCUAUCUGGGUACCCAGGCCCUGACACCUGGCCUCCCUGAGCCUCUCCGUUGGCCUAGUUUGGAGCAGAACUGGUUCAGAAGGAGAAAGAAAGGCAUGAAAUUGAAGAGGAUAAAGUCAAGGAAAGCAGUGUCAGUUGGUUUCACUCUCAGAGAGACUGAGGAAGGAGAAAAAGAGCCUGAAGCAGAGGGCAAAGGUAGGAAAGAGGAGAAAGGUGAGGAGGAGAGGUGGCAAGUCACCUGAGUGAGUGGGAGGGGGUUAAGGACUUGGGUGGAGGCCUUGACAGGGGACGGGAAACUUCAGCCAGCCUCAGAGAUAAGGUGGAGAAGCUGACUCUAAGGAUGGGUGUGGUUACAAUUCCUCGGCAGUGAGGAUUCUGCUCAGAAUGAAGGGUAUGGCGGUUGGACAGCAGGUUUGAACUUGCGAGUUUGGAUGGUCACUUGGGGAAAGGAAAGUGAACUGAGCAAGGAAGAGGAUAUUAAGUAACUGGGAGACCAGUCGACGCUGGAGACCCAGCACUGGGAGCUGUGCCUGCUGCACUAUUGUGUGCGUUUCUCCAGAAGCCUUUUAGCCCGUGAAGAGCAUCUCUUGUGAGCCAGGCCGACCAUCAGUUCUGGUGAUUAAGGCCAGCAUUCCCAGGACCUGACGUAGUUCCAGCCCCAGGAUCAGAUGCAUUGGCUUUGGGACACUGGAGCACUCACAGUGAAGGAAACUGAACAUCCUUUCAACUGACCUCUUGCCUCUAGAAAAGAAGUCACAGUGGUGAUAGGAAAGAGGAGGACGGUCUCUCUGCCUGGCUUUUUCAGGCAUGCUCCUUCCUAGCUCGCCAUGAUGACACACAAGCACAAGGGGUAUUGGCUGCUGACUCUGUUCAUCGUGGAUGCACCUGCCUUCAGCUGCUAAAGAGGAAGGGACACACAGAGGCAGAGAAGAGGAUGUGCCUGCAUUUUUAAAUAAACUGCCUUGUGAUGCAGAAGGCCUAUGAAACAUUUUCGAUAUCGAACCCGAGGUACAUGGAAAAUUACUCACAUGGUUUUAUUUUUUUUCCCCCAACGACUCUAGUAAUCCAAAGGGAAAUUAUUCUGGUUGAAUGACUCAUCUAAAACACGUUUUUUGACUGUAUCUUGGCCAAGGAAGAAUCUAUUCAGAGAUAACAAUUUAUUAUUUAACAUUUUGACAGGUCUACAGAAGUACAAGUCAAUUGAGUCCAAAUAAAGAAAUGUGCUAUUUUUAACAAAUUCUAGAUGUUCUUGGCAGAAGGUAGGCUAGACUUUGUCAGAGGGAAGAAACAGGUUUAUGAUCUUUUUCCUUCAGGUCUUCAAUUAAAACUUGAUAAUCAAAAUAAUACUUUAAAAGAGAAGCCAAUAAAUAGCCUUAGAAAUGCUUAUGGAGAUAUGAUAAAAGGUAAACAAGAGUGAAAGAAAGAAAGAGAGCGAGAGAAAGGAAGGAAGGAAAAAGGGAAGGAAGAAGAAGCAAACUGUGCCCUGGAGCUAGAAAUAGAUGUGCUUGAAAUAGAG
ensembl:lncRNA